UCGAACGAACUUCCGUUAAUUGAUUAUGACGUACUUGUACUGAUUGAGAUUUUAACACGAAGUGAGUGGCGAACGGGUGAGUAACACGUGGGUAACCUGCCCAGAAGUAGGGGAUAACACCUGGAAACAGAUGCUAAUACCGUAUAACAGAGAAAACCGCAUGGUUUUCUUUUAAAAGAUGGCUCUGCUAUCACUUCUGGAUGGACCCGCGGCGUAUUAGCUAGUUGGUGAGGUAAAGGCUCACCAAGGCAGUGAUACGUAGCCGACCUGAGAGGGUAAUCGGCCACAUUGGGACUGAGACACGGCCCAGACUCCUACGGGAGGCAGCAGUAGGGAAUCUUCCACAAUGGACGCAAGUCUGAUGGAGCAACGCCGCGUGAGUGAAGAAGGGUUUCGGCUCGUAAAGCUCUGUUGUUAAAGAAGAACGUGGGUAAGAGUAACUGUUUACCCAGUGACGGUAUUUAACCAGAAAGCCACGGCUAACUACGUGCCAGCAGCCGCGGUAAUACGUAGGUGGCAAGCGUUAUCCGGAUUUAUUGGGCGUAAAGCGAGCGCAGGCGGUCUUUUAAGUCUAAUGUGAAAGCCUUCGGCUCAACCGAAGAAGUGCAUUGGAAACUGGGAGACUUGAGUGCAGAAGAGGACAGUGGAACUCCAUGUGUAGCGGUGAAAUGCGUAGAUAUAUGGAA
rnacentral:rRNA from 1 species